CGAGCGAAGCGGGAAGAGCUCAAAUUUAUAAUCUGGCACCUUCGGUGUCCGAGUUGUAAUCUCUAGAAGUGUUUUCCGCGUUGGACCGCACACAAGUCUGUUGGAAUACAGCGGCAUAGUGGUGAGACCCCCGUAUAUGGUGCGGACGCCCAACGCUUUGUGAUACACUUUCGAAGAGUCGAGUUGUUUGGGAAUGCAGCUCAAAUUGGGUGGUAAAUUCCAUCUAAAGCUAAAUAUUGGCGAGAGACCGAUAGCGAACAAGUACCGUGAGGGAAAGAUGAAAAGCACUUUGGAAAGAGAGUUAACAGUACGUGAAAUUGUUGGAAGGGAAACGCUUGAAGUCAGACUUGCUUGCCGAGCAAUCGGUUUGCAGGCCAGCAUCAGUUUUCCGGGGUGGAUAAUGGUAGAGAGAAGGUAGCAGUUUCGGCUGUGUUAUAGCUCUUUGCUGGAUACACCUUGGGGGACUGAGGAACGCAGUGUGCCUUACGGCGGAUUUCUCGAGAUCUUCACACUUAGGAUGCUGGUGGAAUGGCUUUAAACGACCCGUCUUGAAACACG
rnacentral:rRNA from 1 species